rnacentral:rRNA from 1 species
UGCUUAACACAUGCAAGUCGAACGGGAAAGGCCCUUCGGGGUACUCGAGUGGCGAACGGGUGAGUAACACGUGGGUGAUCUGCCCUGCACUCUGGGAUAAGCCUGGGAAACUGGGUCUAAUACCGGAUAUGAUCAUGCGCCUCAUGGUGUGUGGUGGAAAGCUUUUGCGGUGUGGGAUGGGCCCGCGGCCUAUCAGCUUGUUGGUGGGGUAAUGGCCUACCAAGGCGACGACGGGUAGCCGGCCUGAGAGGGUGACCGGCCACACUGGGACUGAGAUACGGCCCAGACUCCUACGGGAGGCAGCAGUGGGAAUAUUGCACAAUGGGCGCAAGCCUGAUGCAGCGACGCCGCGUGGGGAUGACGGCCUUCGGGUUGUAAACCUCUUUCAGUACCGACGAAGCGUAAGUGACGGUAGGUACAGAAGAAGCACCGGCCAACUACGUG